CCCACCGGAACCAGGACGACGAGGUGGCCAACUGCAUCCUUAAUUUGGUGGCUGCGCAUCGAGCAUGAGGUCUCCGCCAAGACCCUCAUCGGCUCCUGCCACUCACUAUUCUCCUCCGAGGACCUCACCUACCAGUUUGCCGCUGCUGCUGAAAAAGAGCUAUCACCUAUCAAAAAUGAAGGAAGAUAGCAGUAUACCUUCAGCCACAUGAGACCACAAAUUCGCUCCUCCCCGGCCGAUCUGGGUGUUGCUAUCACCUCUCGACUAUAAAUAUGCUGCCGGUGAUCGAGCUUCAGAUUUUUUCCUUAUGGCAGUGUAGAGAACAAGUCAAGACCUCAAGUACCCAUGUAGGAUUCUCCUUUUAGGCUUUAUGUGAUGCUCCCUAUGUCCCAUAACAUAUGAUGGUUGUAAUAACAUCUUACAUUACGGGACAGCGGGAGAACUGUUUUACUUCCUGUAUACUUCCGAAUUGUCUUGUAACAUCCUUUUUGUCAUCAGAACUUGUAAUAUUAAUUGUUCC